rnacentral:tRNA from 1 species
GCGGGGAUGGCCCAGCCCGGUAAGGCGAUGGAUUGCUAAUCCAUUGUUCGGAAGAACUCGGGGGUUCAAAUCCCCCUCCCCGCG